AGGACGAACGCUGGCGGCGUGCCUAAAACAUGCAAGUCGAACGGUGGUAGCAAUACCACAGUGGCGAACGGCGGAGUAAUACGUGAACAACGUGCCCCAAAGACUGGGAUAGUCACUGGAAACGGUGGGUAAUACCGGAUGUGGCGCUUUUCUCUCCUGAGAGAAGUGUUAAAUGGUUUUUCGCUUUGGGAGCGGUUCACGGCCUAUCAGGUAGUUGGUGGGGUAAUAGCCUACCAAGCCGACGACGGGUAG
rnacentral:rRNA from 1 species